rnacentral:lncRNA from 1 species
CUCACAAUGCUGCAUUCCAUGUCCUGCAGUUCAUGGAGUUCCUUUCCCCAUUACUUUCCCUCUCAAUCCAAGCCUGUCCCUCUUUUGGGCUCCCAAAUGCUCAAGAAGUGUGCAACUGUCAUCCAAAUGUGUCCUCUCUUGCCUGAUAUAGUAUCCUAUGCAGUGCUUCUCCAACAAAGCUAUAAGCUCUUUAGGGAAAACAAGCAUGUCUUCAUUUCCCAUAGCAGGGCUGUAGAUAGACACUCAACACAUACUCGGUGAUGGAUCGAUUCAGGUCCAAGUCCAGCACCGUUUAUUUACUUAGCAUCUAUAGCACCAGGCGUCAGACUGCGGAUACAGAGAUGAAAGACAUUCCCUCUAUGCUCUUUCCACCUUGGCCUCGAGUGUUGCUCUGUUCUUUCAGCUGUGCUCAACAGCUAGGAAGAGUCCAGGCUGGGCGUGGUAUUGUAAUGAAAUAAAACUUACAACAAAUCCGAUGUGACACAUACUGUCAUACCUAAUAGCUCAGCACAGCCCUGAGUUCACUCUCCAAGGCUGCAUCCAUUCUCUCCAAGCAAAGUUCUCAGUCGCAACGGAAAACAACUUGGGCUAAUUUUAGAAAAGGAAUGUAUUAACAAAUAAAAGCUAGCUCACAGACUCUCUGGGAGGGCUGGAGCAUUAGCCUUAGAGACUGCAGGGCUGGGAACAGUUUCCAAAAUGACAUCACAGGGGGAAACACAUGUUUGUGACUGUUAUAUAGUCUUAAUCUUGCUUAAUGUUUUAAAAAGCCCUUUAAAUACCUUUAAACUACUUCUUUCUUGAAAUUAAUGUUGUGAUUCCUGCUUUCAUCUUGUUGCCUUUGUCUGAAAUCUCUGCCCGCCCCCUGCUACCUCUCUGCUCAUGUGUUCUGUCCAUGUUUAAAGGCUAGCCUUGUGCAUCAACAUUAUAACAAGGUAACAUACAGAUAUGCAUCAUAAAUUCUUCCCAGAACAAGGAGGAGAGUGAAUGUGAAAGGAAGAAAGAGAGGAAGAAUGAACAAACCAAUCAGCCAAUAAUGGAGGGAAAGGUAGAGAUUUAAGCAUGAGGCCAGGCAAAGCAUAUAAUAGGCAAGAUAACUGAAUAUGCUCUGAAGUAAGCAUCUUUUAUUUAUUUGUCCUGGUUCUCACUUCAAACCAGGCCUUUGUUCUUCUAUAAAAUAGUUAUUAAUUUCCAAUAUAUGUUCAUACACACAUAUACACAAUACAUCUGUCAUCCGUAUGUAUUGUAUAUAAUUUAUACAUAUUUUGAGAGAGGUAGAAUAAGUGCUAUCUCAAUUUAGCAGUCAGUCCCUAUAAAGGAUCUCAUGAAGAGGAAGACCAAUUCAAGAUGGGUUCCAGUUUGUGGUUUGAACUUGUACAGUUCAGUUGGACCAAACUGAACAUCCAAUAAGGUGUGCUGGGAAAUGUUUAACAACCAGCUCUGGGGCAUGGGUGGAGGUGAAACACCCUGAGUUGUGGUGUUCGUGGAUUUCUAUGGUGUAAAUGCUGGUCAACUUCAAGCUAUCUAUGUGAUGUCACUGGACAUGGAGUUGGGGACACAGCAUUAAAUCCAGUGGAAAUUUAGAUGUUUUAUUCCCCAGGAUAAGUUUCAGGGGGAGUCCCUGACUCCUGUUUCCACCAGCAGCCAGACCUUACUAGACUAGUGGGCAUUACUAGAUGUGGGCAUGAAAAUAACAUGAACUACCUGAUGGACAAGCUUCCCAGACACAUUCCUGUGGUUCUCCAGUUGUUUUGAGCAAUUUAGUCACCACUUUAAGUUUCUAAUUACAGAGUUUUGUUUUUAUUUUUAAAAACAAUGUGGUCUCGAUGGAGGUAAUCUCUUUAGUGUACAUUCUCUGCAUUACUCACAAUCUUUUCUUAACAAAUACGGAGUAGUUAUAGUCUGCCUAUCCUGACACUUCAGAGAAUUUAAUUUUAAUGCUGGAAAGAGUUGCAAAGGUGAUUUCUUAUUGCAUAUACUUAAGGAGAGUGCUAAGGAAACGAAGUAGGUUGCGUGAGGACCCAAGGCUGGUUAUUAUCAGAGUUGAGACCUAGAACAUAUGUAUUUGAAUCUCAGUUUGUUCUCUUUCAUUCUAUUCACCCAAUUUUAAUAUGAUUUAAUUUAUAUGGCUGUAGGGGCAAUUAGGCUACUAAUUUAUGCUAGGAAAAACACCUAUCACCUCAAUAGGAAAAUAUCGGCCUAGAAAAAUUAACUUUAAAUGUCUUUUCAUAAAGUUUGAGUUACAUAAUGAAGAAAGCAGGAUUGGAUUGAGAUUAUUCUGAUAAAAAAAAAAAAGAUGGACAUUCAUUAAACAUCUCAUCUGCCAGGCAUCACUCCAAGUGUUCUGUGUAUCUUCUUUCUUUGAAUCCUCACUUCUGUCUUAAUGGCCUUAUUUCAUCCAAUGAGGGGACCAGGCACAAUUACAUAAUUUGC